AAAUGAAUAGACGGGGCCCCGCACAAGCAGCGGAGCGUGUGGUUUAAUUCGAUGUUACACGAAGAACCUUACCAGGGUUUGACAUGCAAGUGGUAGGAAACCGAAAGGUGACCGACCCUUCGGGGAGCUUGCACAGGUGCUGCAUGGCUGUCGUCAGCUCGUGUCGUGAGAUGUUCGGUUAAGUCCGCUAACGAGCGCAACCCUCACUGUGUGUUAUAUGUGUCACACGGGACCGCCGGUCUUAAGCCGGAGGAAGGUGGGGAUGACGUCAAGUCAGCAUGGCCUUUAUAUCCUGGGCUACACACACGCUACAAUGGCCAACACAAUAGGUCGCUAAGCCGCGAGGUGGAGCCAAUCCAUAAAGUUGGUCUCAGUUCAGAUUGCAGGCUGCAACCCGCCUGCAUGAAGAUGGAGUUGCUAGUAACCGCAGGUCAGCUAUACUGCGGUGAAUACGUUCCCGGGGCUUGUACACACCGCCCGU
rnacentral:rRNA from 1 species